ACACAUACCUGACGUAGGGGCUACCGUGAUCAUGCAGGCGGUUCCCCCAGGGUGAGGCUGCUCCAUUGCGCUGCGGAGUGGUUCUUAUAUGGUGGUGCGAUUAUUCUUAUUUCUUAUAAUUUUCACUUCUACCGCGUGUGACUUGCACUCACGUC